rnacentral:lncRNA from 1 species
GCCCCCGCCUGCCCCGCCCGGCGCCGCACCACGUGGGCCAGGCGCCCCACGCCUGGAGCUCCCCUCUCUGGAGCCCCGGGAAAGGAAGCGGGGCAGGGAGGCCGGGUGGGAGCAGGGGGGUCUCCGGCGCUUCCUCUCCUCUGCGGGCGCCGCGCGGCUCCUGAGAGUCCGCCCCCCGUCCUGACGCUCAGCUAGGAAGCGGGUCCUCGGGCCCCUCCCCCGACACACACACACACACACACACACACACACACACACACACACACUCUCUCUCUCUCUCUCUCUCUCUCUCUCUCUCUCUCUCUCUCUCACACACACACACACACACACAGCCCGUCUCGCGCCUGAGGUCUCGCCCGCAGGCCGGUGGCGCGGGGUCAGCUGCUGCCUGCGGUCCAGGACAGGGUCGGUUCCGCCGCGCAGCGCCCAGGCCCAGCUCGUCCAGAGUCUGCGGACAGCGCACGUCCAGGUAACGCGCUUCAAGGGGCCGCGGCUCGGAGCUGGGGGACCCCGGGCCGCCCUGCCCAUACGAGUGCGAGCGUGGAGAGCGCGGGCGGGGGCGCGGUCCCGGGGGCCGGCCAGCUGGAGGGGGCGGGAGCGCUGGGCGGGGCCUGCGCUGACCCCGGCGCUGAGUCCCUGGGGCCGCCGGGCGGAUGGCGUGGCCGGACGCGGGGGCCCCGGGCCUUCCGGGCGUGACCUAGGGCUCGGGGGCGGGGAGGCCCCUCCGGCGGGGCGGCCCUGGGUGGUCCGGCAGAGGCGGAGGCCGCUCCGAGCCUGUGAGCCCUGGGCGCCUGCGGAGGCGGGGAGAGGGCGGGGUGUGCCGCCCUGGUGGGGACCGCGGGGUCGGAGAGGGGACAUUGCCCCCCCCGAGGCGAACGUCCAACCGCGGGUCCGGGUCCCCGCCCAAGGCCGCCCCGCGAGGUGGCCUCGGCCCGGCCGUCCCCGAGGGUGGCUCGGAUCCUUUCAACCAGCGCGCUGGAGGCGAAGGGGCUGCGCCAUUCCGGGUCAGGCAGCCAACGCGGGACACGCGCGUCUCCGAGCUUGCGGCCCGCGAAACCCGGGUGACCUACCGCGCCGGUGCCCUCAAAGCCCCCACGCCCGGGCCGGUGGCCGCUGCAGCCACUGAGCCACGCGGUCUCCCCGGCCCGGUCGGCAGAAGGAGCUGGUCCGUUACUAGAAAAGUCCAGAUGCAAAGUCGGGGGUCGUGCUGCCGCUUCCUGCCAGCGCACCGCACCCACCUGGGGCCGCCACCGACCGCACAGGACGCGCCUCCUACCCCCUGUUCUGGCCCGGCCGAGAGCUGGUGCCCCCAGCGGCCGCCCGCCCCCGUCCGCAGACCCCGGGGCCCUUGCUGCUUUGCAUUGGGAACAACCGGAGCCAGGCCCGGAGCUGAGGGGGCCAGGGCCUUUGGAGGAAGCAUUGGCCUCCAGGCUGAAGAGCAAGGGCCGUGUCACCUGCCCGGAGGGCGGUCUCAUCUCUGCAGCCAGGUCAGAGGAAGCAGCGGUGGGGAGACGGAGUGCGCGAGUUGGGAGGCUCCACGCAUCGUAGGUGGAGAGCUGGCUGCCAGCCUGGCCUGCCCUCUCUUCCCCGUCCCACCAUCUCGCUUGGCUCCGGCACCUGCCUGGGAAGACCCACACCUCCGUCUGCAGUGCCUCUUCCCCCUGGAGGCCCUGCCCUCCGCUCGGGGUCCCCGCAUCCUUCCGUGGCCCUCAGAGCAUCGCCUGGGGCGCCCGCGGAACUCAUCUGUUAGGCCUGGGAUGCAGGCAGGCAGAAGUGGGGGUUUAAGUGGAAGCAGUGAGGGUGGGGGUCCGGUCCAAACUGUGCCACCUUCCACCCCCUGCCCCUGGGAGAGCAGACAUCGCCCACUCGGGCUCACAGUGCCAUCCGGGUGAGGACCUCCGUGGAGAGCUCUCUUUGCCAAAGAAAAGCAGUUGCAUUAGGUCUGCGAGCAGGCAGGGUGGCCUCUUCCUGGCUCCCCAUCCACCAAGGAAGCUUCAAGUCCCUGGGACACAGGUGGGGAACUCCAGCACCCCUGGAGGAAGGGAGACUGAGGUUGGGGAGUGGCAUCCAGGCCCUGACUCUGGGGCACGGUGGUCUGUGCAACUGAGACCCUGCCUCAGGCUCCAACAGCGCCUGCUCCUUUCCCCAGGUUGCAGUGAUCACCAGGGGAGGUGCUGGGCGUGCAGGCUGCCACAGGAGGGGUGGGGAGGUGGGGAGUCUCUGUGGCGGGGUGGUGGGGGCCUAGGCCAGUCAGCUGAGGACGUGUUGGUGCACUCCCGGGAGGGCGGUAUGUGGGUGAGGAUCCCCAUGCAGAGUGGUGCCCACAAACCCCCCUUCCAGAGUCAUCUCUGGUCCACCUUGAAGUCCCCAGGAAAAUGACCUCGUCCUCCGCGGGUGUGAGCCACUAGGCCUGAGAGGACGCCGGGACGGAGCUUUCAGAGAGGGAGGUGUCGGGAUGGCUUGAGGGUCACCAGGUAUUAAUUAAGCACUUGCUGUGUGCCAGGCACUUUCCCACACAGGAUGGAGCCGGGCCACCCUCACAGCUCCUGCCCUGCAGACGCUGGCCUUGUGGAGGGAGGCAGGCAGCAGGAGCAGUGCUUUCUGGGCCUCUGUAGCCAGAGCUGGCCCUGCUGCAGCUUACGUCUGCCUGCAGCCCAGACGUCCUCCUGGUCCUCCUGAUGCCCCCGACCUCCACGGAGGACGAGCAUUUCCAGCCCAGCCCUCCCCAUCUUCACCUCGCACUCCCCUGACACACUGGGAGCCUCCUGAUCCGUGAACCCGCGCUGGCGGGAGUAGCUACUGACCGCUGGGGACCCCUGCCCAGGCUGUUCGCAUGUGGAAAGGAUUCAGGGAGCAGGCGAUGCCCAAAGCGUGGAGACCAGCACUGCUCUCUCCCCAGUGACAGGUGCACGCCCAGAUCACGGAUGUGUCGGGAACAGCUGUGCUCCUGCUGCUCAGCGUCCGUCACUCCAGGCUGGGAGCGGGUCCCCAAGCUUCUGGCUGGGCCUAUCCGUCUCCACUCUCAGUGUGGGGGUGGGGGGCGCCAACAGCACGCAUUUGCUCUCUGCACUUCUCGUCUGAUAAUGGGCAGAGGGUCCUUCUGCAGCCCCAAAACAUCCCUAGGCAGGAGCCCUGGGGCCCCAAGCAGCCAGGGAGGUGAGCACCAAGGACCUCCCAGAGAGCGUCACCUUCCGUCGAGGGAGGCCCAGCCUGGGGGCGGUGUCUGAGACUUGGAAUCAACGCUUCCGUUGGUGGCAGUAAAUCCUGUCCCUAACCCUGCAGUACAGCUGUGCCGUGUACAGGAGGGUGCUGUCUGACGCCAGACACCUGGACUACAGAUCGCAGCCUGAUUCCUGGUCAUUGCUCCACUGAACCCCAGACCCCAGCCUCGUUCUGGGCCCUCAUCCCCUAGAUCCAGGGACCCCAGCCCCAUUUCAGCCCUUGGGCCCUUGUAGGAUGCGAGGCCCUGGGCCCCAGCCCCCAGCCCAUCCGUGGCCCAGGCACUGGGGGGCUGAGGUCCUCUGAGAAGGGACACAGGGCCUGGGGGGCUCUCUCAGCCCAUCAGCAGGAGAGGACUGACUCCAGAAAAAUCAGCGUUUGUACCCACUCAGGCUGCCAAGACCUGUGUCCGUCCUUCCAAGCUCAACCUUCAGAGUUCAUGAGGCCCCUUGCCCAGAAUGUCCACAGAGUUCAUGAGGCCCCUUGCCCGGAAUGUCCACAUUUGAAACCUCCCAACACCGAGCCCCAUUUCAAGUAUAACCAGGAGGGAAAAUGGUGCUUGAAAUAAGCAUGCCACAAAGGAAAACCUGCUUUCUCGAAAUGGGCCCUGGCCGCCCAGGCCCUGACCUCCCCGGCCAGGAUGGAACGUUCCAGAGACCCAUUAGUGCCAAAGGCAAAUGAAAACACACCCUGUGAAAAUGUC